UACAGAGGGUGCAAGCGUUGUUCGGAAUUAUUGGGCGUAAAGGGCGUGUAGGCGGUCUGCUAAGUCAUGUGUGAAAUCCCUCGGCUUAACCGAGGAACGACGCAUGAAACUGGCAAGCUAGAGUACCAAAGAGGGGGGUGGAAUUCCCGGUGUAGCGGUGAAAUGCGUAGAUAUCUGGAGGAACACCGGUGGCGAAGGCGACAUCCUGGACCGGUAUUGACGCUGAGGCGCGAAAGCCAGGGGAGCAAACGGG
rnacentral:rRNA from 1 species